rnacentral:ncRNA from 1 species
AUGAUAGAGGUCGCGGUGAGCAAGAGUACGCAGACGAGAGAGGGCAAGGGAGCCCGAUCUGCGGAAAGGGCGGACCGCCGAAGGAGCCGGCUUCCCGACGCCGGUGCCUGGGACGUCACAGAACAUGUGACGGACUGUCGCUGCAGAUGAUGCAUGCGGAGCGCUGUCUG